UUAGUGGCAGACGGGUGAGUAACAUGUGGGUAUCUGCCUUUUGGUUCGGAACAACACGGGGAAACCUGUGCUAAUACCGGAUAAGCCUUUACAGGGAAAGUUUUAAUGCCAAAAGAUGAGCCCGCAUUUGAUUAGCUAGUUGGUGAGGUAAAAGCUCACCAAGGCGAUAAUCAAUAGCUGAUUUGAGAGGAUGAUCAGCCACACUGGGACUGAGAUACGGCCCAGACUCC
rnacentral:rRNA from 1 species